UGGGAGUAAGGGCCAGGAAGCAAGAGAAGGCUUCUCCUCCAGAUGGCAGGAGGAGAGAAUCCUGAGCUUUUGUAUUACUGGACCUUAACAGUUCCUAAGCUGAGGAUGGCGGUACAUGUUGGUAAACUGAGGACCACCCACAUGCCAGAACCAUCCUGCCUUCAGUGACUCGGCCCCAGGAGCCACAUCAUCACAAUGUGGGCAUGGGCAGCAUGCACAUUCUCCACAUCCCUUAUAAAACCUGUGCCUUCAUAGUCUUUUCCCUCCGGCUCAAAGAUAGCCUUCUGUGAUACAAUGUGACCCCUUCCAAUAAAUCUCAUAUAUAUCUUG